rnacentral:lncRNA from 1 species
GGUUCAUCUAUGAAGCAGCUGGCUCCAGAACCUUCUGCCUGCCUAAGGCCGAAUAAUGCUCUGCUUCUGAGUAUGCUGACUUGGGUUGUCUGUUUACCUCACUGCUGGCUGCUGGCUGCUGUCCCCCUGGGAGCUCCCUGCUUGGCUGCUGUGGCUAAUGCUGCCAGGAGGAGCAGCGCUGUUUUCUGUGGACCCUUGUCUAGUUGUGGCGGUUGCUGGGAAAGAUGAAGUCCCCAGACUGGAGCUCAGGCUGCAAAGAGGCUGGCAUGAAGCGAGAUGCCCCUUCUAGGCCAAGGCAAGAUCUGCUGCCCUCUGACUUCUACCUGUUGCUGAGAUGACUUCUGUCGCCAAGGCACCUGGAUACCGAGCCACUCCUUGACAAAAGCCCUCUCCAGCCUGCGUGGACCUCGCGUGA